AUGGAAGAGGAGACAACCUUUCAAGACUUGUUGGGUUUCGAGUUCUUCCUGAUCCUACUCCCGAAUUUCUUGAAGAAACUGAGGCUGCCAGACAAGUUUGCCAAGGUGCUCGACGGCCGUGAGCUUCAGGAAGUGAAGCUGAGGGAGGACGGGCGCAGGCGUCACUUGUGGGACAUGGAAGUAGUGUUGGACGCGGAGGGCCACAUGUACCUGGGGCAUGGAUGGGAGCAGUUCGCCCGUGCUCACGGCCUGCGGCUCGGGCACUUCCUCGUCAUAAGCUAUGACAGCCAUGUCGUGCUAACCGUGAAGGUGUUCGACCAGAGCAUGUGCCGCAGGCACUACCAGCACGACAACGAUGCCAGCAGUGCGAGCACCAGUGACAGUGGCAGCACCGUGCAGGGAGCAGAGGGAGAAGGGGAAGUGCCACCGCAGACAGGGGCAGAGGAAGACGAUGGGGAGCAGGUCAUAUACAAGAUGAGUAAUCCAUGCGAUUCAGAUGGAAGCCAGAAGGGAAGAUGUUAUUCUUCUGAGGAAUUGUCAGAAGACAGUCCAUCUGUAGACAAUUCUGUGGAGCCAGCUAAUCUACAGACGGUUUCGAAUAACUAUGUCAUAUCAGCGCAGUGCUAUCCUACAAAAGCACAGAAGGUGAAAAUAGACGCACUUAUAGAGAAAAUUCAACCUAAAAUCACAGUGCUAGUUGUACAGAUGAAGAAGACGAAUGCAAAACGGCAUGGCACUCUGGUAAUACAAAAGGAUUAUGCACGCGAGCACUUUCCAUGUGAAGACACAACUGUCAUACUCCAGCUGCCUGGGAAGAAAAAGCAUUGGAAAUGCACAUUCCACAUCACGCCAUCUGGCAUGCCUGAUGCAGGUCGGCGCAACCUCAAUUUGCGCAACUUUUCCUGUGACAAUCAUGUGAGUACUGGUGAUAUCUGCCUCUUUCAACCAAUGACAAAUGUUAAGCACAGAAGAUUCAGAGUGACAGUCCAUCUCCUUCACAAAGCGAGCAUUGCGCAUUACCCUGGUGGAAGAACUGACAUUGUCUCGAAUCAUGGAAGUACAAGUGCCACGAUGGGCGGUGUGAAGGAGGAACCACCUACCGAUGGUGAAGUGUACUCUUCAGAACAUGAACAAUGUAAAGUCUCUGAGGAUUCCCAGGGAGCUUCCGAGAGUCUCUUCAUCCUGGCUGACAGAGCUUGUCUAACACCAGCACAGUAUUUGAAAUGUCUGGGGAAAGUUGAGGAGAUUAAGUUCAAACCGCCCUUUUAUGUUUCUAUCGUGAGCAAGAGCAUGCGUCAGUUUCCCAUGCUAAACUUUGUCUGGCAGUACGCAGCCAGAUAUCUGCUUCAGAAGUUUGCUGCUGGCCAUCAUGAUGGAAAUAAUAGUUCAAUCAGUUUGGUGCUUCAGCGGGAGGGGAAGAGCAGAUCAUGGACUACCAAGCUGAAUUAUAGGCAUCGCACGCUAGACACGACCAACCGGAUGGGCAUUUACAAAGGAUGGGAGUCUUUUGCCCACGACAACCACCUGCGGGAGGGGGACCUCUGUCUCUUCAAGCUGAUGGAUAACGAGGAGCAGCUGACGAUGAUGGUCUACAUCGUCCGCCGCUAG
rnacentral:rRNA from 1 species